UGAAGGCAAGAGAAAAGGUGGUUAAUAUAGCUGUCAAUGGCGUUGAAGCCGGUUUUCAUAUGUAUUUAGAUGGUAGGGGACGAGCUUUCUUUAUAAAGGAUGUAGAUAUAGAAGAUGGGGAGUCUUUCUCUUCUUCAUCAUCCUCAGGUGAGGAUGCUGACGGGCAAACCAGUAGUAAGCGGCCAACAAUAUCAAAGAGUUGCAACUAUGAUGCUUCUGAAUCUAAUUCAACUACUCAGAUCAAUGUGAGCGGUGAGAAUGUCUCGGUGAGGGCCAAUUCCCAAAGACCUGGGAUUUUAGGCCGGGUUUUUGGGAGGAAGUCGAUGAAAAAAGACAGGCUUCCUGGGGAAGAAAAUGAUGCCAGUAUUAUGAGGACAGACUCAUUGGAGUGUGCUGAAAUGGCAGCUGAUCUGUUAGAAAUGAAGUGGUCUACUAAUCUUACCCCGAAGAGGUACAACAGAGAUUAUGUCAUACCAGUUGCUUCCCAAGAUAUGUCAAAGGGUGUUAAAGAAGAGGACUUGCAAGAUGCUAAUCAAGCUGGUAUGGGCCGGAAUCCUGCAUAUGCUGGUGCUUAUGGUGCAGCACCUCCUUUCUCACAAAUACCAUACAUGGGUGGAGCUAAAGCUGCAGUACCGGAGGCUCCUGCUCCGCCAAAUAGCAUAUUGUUUGUGCAGAAUCUUCCUCAUCAGUCUACUCCAAUGAUGCUACAAAUGCUCUUCUGCCAAUAUCCAGGCUUUAAGGAAGUUAGGAUGGUUGAGGCAAAGCCUGGAAUUGCUUUCAUAGAAUAUGGAGAUGAGAUGCAAUCGACUGUUGCCAUGCAGGCCCUGCAAGGCUUCAAAAUUACCGCCGACAAUCCCAUGCUGAUUACAUAUGCAAAGAAGUAGAUAAGACUAUAUUUUAGCUGCUGUCUGUAGAAUUAAACAUUUACUUUCACUAGGAUUUGAGUGUUGCAAUUUUAAGCUUUAUGAUCCUUGGAUAUCUAAGUUUAGCCGUGUAUUUGCUGUGUACUAGCACCUUGUAAUUUUGAUGUGCUUCUAUGGACCAUUUGCCAUUUUAAAAAAGUGUCAAGUCUCAUUUAAACAUUAUUUGGUGGAG
rnacentral:misc_RNA from 1 species